rnacentral:lncRNA from 1 species
ACAUGUAAGAUUUGUAUUAUAAUAGUUAGAUAUAUUUUUGGUAUGUUAGAAGAGAACCUCAAAAGAGUCUUACAACAACACCCAUAACCAUGACCUACAACAAGAUUUAUGGUACACCCUCCCCAACAGAUACCAAAAAGCAUAACAUUAAGUAGUGAGCAACAAAGAAGAUGCAUUGGACCAUCCCAAAUGCACUGCCUGAGUUUUGGGGUAGCCCAAAGUAACCUCCGACAACACCCAACAAAAUUGAAUAUGAAGUCAACUCUCAUUUGAUAAAAUGCUUCCCAUCACAGAGAUAAUCCCAGAACUAUUGAUAAAACCUUCCUUUGUAAAGACACUCCAUUCAACAAAAGAGAGACACACCUAAGACUUGAGAUACGAGGUCAAUGCUCUUUAUAGUGAAAGCCUCCCAUGACAGAGAUAUUCCCAGAAUAGCACCAAGGACACAAAGAUGAGCUCCCUUGCUCCAUAGAAGCACCGGUAAAUCUGAAUAGAAAUACCUCAAAUGCAAGCAUAACCUUUAGAGAGAAAGCCUGCAACAUAAAAUACCACAUACCUUUGUGCAACGUAUGUUCAGACCAUAUUAACAAAAACACAUCUUCAACCUAACUAAGAGAAUCAACAAAUAUAUCAAUUAAGCAUAACGUAUGUUACAUAGAUUUAAUUGAGUCAGACACCACACUUCACUUCAAUCAUAUCAAUCUUUCCCUACUUAAAAAUAAUAUUAUUCUUGUGAUUCAUAUGCAUAUCAUUUAUAAUCUUACAUGCAUUUUUAUUCUAUACUUAUUAUCAACUCAUUAUAUCUUAAUCGCUAUAAUAUAUAUGACAUUUGUACAGUAUGUAACCAAUUUUAUUUAGUUUUUGCAUGAUUAUUCCUUUCAAAAAUUCAAUCUUUGGUUUUUCUUUAGCAGAAACAACAGCAAUGAGACGUAGAAUUUUUUAAAGUUGAAACUGUUCGAACCAAAAUAUUGAAGAGACAAUAACAGAGUUGGCUGCUGUUACUACCCUGCAAUGAGCAUUAACCAGUCACUCAAUUUCAAUCUUACCCUUCCAAUUUCAAAGAUAUCAUUAUUCUUUUGAGAAUGGUAAUUUACUCUAAUAUAAUCUGCAUGUUUGCAAAGUUAAAUUGGAAGAGUAAAAUUGAUAAUAAGUGACAGUUUAAUGUUUAUUGCAGGAAGAAACAGCUCCCAACUCUGUUACUGGCUCCUCACUAUUUGGGUUCGAAGAAUUUCAAAAUCAAAAGAUUUCAGGUCUUGUUGCAAUGUAUUACUGCUAAAACAAACCUCAAACUGCAGUUUUGAAAGAAUGGUAAUGCCAAAAAAUAAUUUGGUUACAUACUGCAUAAGAAAUAAAGGCCAUGUAAUAAUAUGCAAGUACCUUGGAAAUAAUUUUGCUAAAGAAAUAAAUUGCACAAACAUAACAAAAAUAGACAGUUUUAUAAAAAUAUCACACACACAUUUACACUAGAAUUUAAAGAUGAAGUUAUUACAAUAAAAUUAAUUAGAGAAACAAAAAAUACCAACAAUAUAUACUUAUACAUUAACUAGCCUUUUACAUGAAAGCAUUUGAAUUGUAUAAAUAACCUCAAAAUAAUAAUAAUAAUAACGGUUCUGAUAUAAAUAAUAAUAAUAAUAAUAAUAAUUGUUCUAAGAUAAAUAAUAAUGAUAAUAAUUGUUCUAAGAUAAAUAAUAAUAAUAAUAAUUUUUCUAAGAUAAAUAAUAAUAAUAAUAAUAAUAAUUGUUCUGAGAAAAAUAAUAAUACUACUAAUAAUAAUAAUAAUUGUUCUUACAGUUUAUUUGAGAUCAAAUAUUUUCUAUCAAGUCUCUUCUGUCUUCUCUCUCUUCAGUUUUUCGUUGUUCUAUUGAGUAUGUCCGUGAGGGUAAGGUACCUGCAAAGACAUUCCGACGCUCAAAUCAGUUGAAGUGUAUAUCUGAAAAUUUAGUUCAAAAUUGAAAUAAUCAUUACCUUUUUUUACCAUGGGAUCCCCUCUUAUUUAUACUUUUCUAUUGAGUUUUGUGUUGUGUAAAGAUUAGCGUAGACCCAAUAAUCCAUUAAUCAUGUUUUAUCUUUUCUAAUCAAACUUAAUCCAUUUAAUUUGCAGGGUAACAUGAUACUAGUUUUAGCCAAAAGGUCGUGAUACUGUAUAAGGUGAUCAAUUUUUCGACUUAUUGAUUCUUGAUAUAAUAAUAAUAAAAUGAUGCAAGAGACCAUAACAGAAACCAAAACACAUAUAUACAAAUUAAAAACUAGUACUGAGUAAAUAUGAAAAAUAAAAAACCUGUAAAAAUUUGCUUUGAGGGAUGAAAAGGAAUAUAAUAGCACAAUUCAGCGCAUUCCUAAUUUGUUCAUGAAAUCACUCACUCAAUGCACAUUUUCUAUCAAAGUUGAUAAAUUUAUGUGAAGUCUAAAAUUGGAGAAUAAAAAAUGUAGUUUUUAAAGCUAUCAACUUCUUCAAGAAGACCAUGAAAGGGAGGGGAAGACUCUUGCAAGAAGAAUACUUAUUUGGAGAAUAAAAUGAAACAUAAACCUUAUCUUAUCAAGAGAAAGGCUAAAAAUCUUGGAAAGAAAAAGGAACAUGGUAAUAAACCAAAAAAAAUUGUCUUUUACAAUAUGUAAAAAGAAAAAUGGAAGACUUUAAUUUGCAACAAGUUUUGUUCUAAACAUUGAGAGAAAUUGUAAAGAGAGAGGUUGAGAGAGGUUGUAGUUGGAGGUUAGGAGAAAGAGGAAUGUGUUACAUAGGUUGGAGAAAAUUUGGGAUGAGUGAAAGUUAUUCUAAUGGAGCAUGAGAGGUAG